AAAGCGUGCGCAGGCGGUAAUGUAAGACAGAUGUGAAAUCCCCGGGCUCAACCUGGGAACUGCAUUUGUGACUGCAUUGCUGGAGUGCGGCAGAGGGGGAUGGAAUUCCGCGUGUAGCAGUGAAAUGCGUAGAUAUGCGGAGGAACACCGAUGGCGAAGGCAAUCCCCUGGGCCUGCACUGACGCUCAUGCACGAAAGCGUGGGGAGCAAACAGGAUUAGAUACCCGGGU
rnacentral:rRNA from 1 species